GACGAACGCUGGCGGCGUGCUUAACACAUGCAAGUCGAACGGUGAAGCGAGUGCUUGCACUCGUGGAUCAGUGGCGAACGGGUGAGUAACACGUGAGUAACCUGCCCAUCACUCUGGGAUAAGCACUGGAAACGGUGUCUAAUACUGGAUACGACCAACCCUUGCAUGGGGUGUUGGUGGAAAGAUUUAUCGGUGAUGGAUGGACUCGCGGCCUAUCAGCUUGUUGGCGGGGUAAUGGCCCACCAAGGCGACGACGGGUAGCCGGCCUGAGAGGGUGACCGGCCACACUGGGACUGAGACACGGCCCAGACUCCUACGGGAGGCAGCAGUGGGGAAUAUUGCACAAUGGGCGAAAGCCUGAUGCAGCGACGCCGCGUGAGGGAUGACGGCCUUCGGGUUGUAAACCUCUUUCAGCAGGGAAGAAGCGAAAGUGACGGUACCUGCAGAAGAAGCACCGUCUAACUACGUG
rnacentral:rRNA from 1 species